UGUUUGUUCCAUUUAGUUGAUCGUCGAAAAAUCUCCGUGUGUUUUAUAGCGUUUUUUUACUUUCUGGUUAAAACAAGUUUUUCAACAUGACUCUGCUUGGAGAAUAGCAGAUCUAAAGAAUGAGUUGAAAAGGAGAGGUGCUUCGCGGCAGGGAAAGAAAGCGGAUUUGGUAGCGAGAUGGCAGCCUUCAUUCCAAACCCUAAAAGAUUCCAUCAGCAAUUGAAUUCUUGGGUUGAUCUUACUGGUGAUUUUGAAUUGACUAAUGAAGAGAUUUUCAAAAAGAAAAAAGUUUGUGAUGUUCAUUUCACCAACAGAGAUCGUAAUCGUAAUAACCGAUUAAAUGCUUUAGCCAUUCCAUCUCUUCAUUUGAAUGGCUUUUACAGAAAACUUUUAUUUUUUAUUUUAUAGAAAACUACCCUAGUGAAAUGGUCAGUCAGAAAAUGGAACUGAAACCCAAUUAGAUGCAGGUUGUUAUGAAGAUAAUAUUAGAACAUACACCAGGACAAAGCUACCACCAGCUGCACCAUUGAAGAUAUCAAUAUUAAGUCAUCUAUAUCAGAUAAUAACAAUAUAGCUUUUUGAAUGAGUACUAAGAGACAACUGACUAUACUUGUAGACGAGUACUUAUGUAGAGAUCUCAAACAAGCAUGUCCCUUCGAUGAAUGCCUGGAAAACCGGUGGCUGGUAGCGUCUGGAUAAGGAAGGCACCAAGAAAGCGAAGAGGACAGAUUGUUAAAAAUCUAACUAUAUAUUGGAGGAUAGGAUUCGUAUAAGGAAUACAAAUCCUCCAUUCAUCCAUUUUGUGUAGUUGCCUGUGGCUCAGCAUCUACUUCUACAGUAACCACUCGACAGAAUGUUAAGCACAACAUAAAAAGAUCAUCAAAAAGGCAUUCGGAAUAUGCUGCUAUAAUGCUGGGCCAUGGUCAUCGCAAGAAAAGAUCUUCAAAAGCUUCGGAAAGAACGGCUCUGUUCAAAUUGACAGUAAAUAGGUAUAGCACUUACCAAAAACAAAUUUGUAACUUGAGGAGAGAUAUCUACAGACUGCGAAAAAGUGGUCAUUCAUUUAAGCCGCGGCUUGCAAAAGCUGAAAAACUGGAUGCCAACACUACUUUUCAAAAAGUAGUUAAAGGUAUGACAUCACAAGCCGAAUUGUACCGCCAUGCACUGACAUAUUUGUGUCAUUUCACUUCAAAUGUGUAACACAUAAAGAGGCUCUAAAAAAAAAUUGAGGAAAUAACACUGAAUGUCUUAAUAUACAGUUGGUGCAGGUCAAUCAAUCGAAUAUUAUGUGGAAAAUUGACCUACUCUGGUGAUGAUGAAAAGAAAUCUUAUGCCCAAGAAUAUUUCAACAAACACAAACAUUUUAAGAAAUAAAUAUUUAGUUUUUGUUAA